UAUUUUUUAAUAUUAUUUUAAACUAUUCUAAUUUCAAUAACAAAAGCUAUACAACACUGGAAAUAGCACCCGGAUCAAAAUUUAUCUACAGUAGCACUUCAGGAUUUAUACGGAUUAUUUGCAAAAUAACAAACAUUAAAUAAUAAUAUUGUAAUCAGUGGAUUUUAUUGUGCCUCAAGUAAUUCAACGAGAAACCUGACAUUUCCGUGUUAAAAGAAAACCGAUAAAAUAUUGAGAGUUUAUCUACCCAUGCUGGGAUUGCCGUGAUACAAAGAUGAUGACUAUUGCAAUAAAACGUGACUUGCUUUUCAAAACAUUGGGUAAAACAUAUUACAAACAUCACGCUCUGACUGAGUGUCAAUGAAGCGAAUAGAGAAGGGGUGUGUUUGUUUGAAGACAAUGAAAAAGCAAAUGAUAGCAAGAGUAGGGUUUUGACCAAGGUAUAGAUGCGUCCGAAGAAAUUAUCUACAUCUAAGAUUGGCACACCUGCCAACAGAUAUUGUCUGUUGUGCUUGGAGCCUAAGUACAGGACUACUUAUAUUUUUGAAUAAAACAUACAAAAGAACUGCAAUUGGUAAUAAAAAGCGAAACACAUAAUGCAAAUUACACAAGAACUGCGUAAAGGAUGUGUGCCAGGAUUCUUUAAAUUUCACUUUUUAAAUGUUCCUCCACUUAUGGUUGAAUGCCUAUAUAUAACGUCUUUUUUCUAAACAGGAUGUUCAUCCCACAUUAUAUGGCAAUAAAACCAAAGGAAUGGAAAAGAUUAUAAUGACUUCAAGAAUUCUUAAAAAUAAGUGGACAUUUGGUUGUUUCCAUUUUGAGAGACGUUACUUUGACGCAAGAUUCUUACAAUAGUUUUAUUAAUCGUCAAGAAAAGUUGCAUCAAAAUAUAGGAAGAAGACAUAGUCUGGUCUCUAUUGGCACUCAUGAUUUGGAUGCAAUUAAAGGUCCAUUUCUAUAUGAUGACACCAUCAAAAAUACAGUUCAAACCACUUAAUCGAGAUAAGCAGUUUUCACUAAACAAGUUGACUGACUUGAUUGGAAUAGAAAUGGCCCAGGCAGGACUUUCUCUUUGUGCUCACGUGAGAAUGUAGCGGACAAAUUGGGAUACGAAAUAGAAGAUGUACCGGCAGUUCACAUAUCCAAUCCAAAAACUUUGGAGUUUCAAAUAAAUCGACCGAUACCGCGCGCUCUUAUUAAAACCUCGGAAACAAGAGUAGUUCUAUUCUUGAUUUCUUCUUUUUAUUUGAACGAUACAUGUGUGUAAUAGAACGUAAACAGAUAUCGUUAUGCGGACGUUUAAAUAAAAAAAAAAUUUGCAAAGAA
rnacentral:lncRNA from 1 species